UCAUUAAUGGCUUUGAACACACCUGUGCUUUUCCUACUAUGACAUGACAAAAAGGGUCUAGGCUGUCUACCAAGCUCUGUUUGUAGCCUGAUACCGACAUUUCCUCAAGCUUAUUUAAGCUUUCUGUGUCAACUUUUGACCUACACUGAGUGCAUUACUUAAAACUAGAAGCACUGUGUUGUCUCUAAUCAGCUGAUUCUAUACCGCAGUCCCUGCUUUAAAGCGUUGUGGAGAGUUCGGCUUUGUGAGUUGCCCGCAUCAGUGAGCAUGGCAGGACACGGCUCUUUUUACGAGCCAAAAGGCCCAGCUGCCGAUGGAAGAAGUAUCCGCACCUCAUCCUGUGUCUCUGCUGCUUGGCCCCGGCUGCUGUCCAUGGUGCUGAAGACUUCCUCCCGUUCCCGAGAGCGACAGAGUUUACUGGAAAGCUGCGAUAACAUCCAGCUGUCGCUCCCGUUCAAGUUGUCGGCCAUCAGCAAAUACUGGUUGACGUUUGCCAUGCAACUGCGAAAACCAGUUUGAUAAUCAGAGAACUCGGAAGCAGCUGCAGUGCCUGAAAGCAAUGGAAAAACAUCGUAAGUCACUGCCUGUUCCAGCGGGGUCAGUGGUGCUGUAGCUGAGCAGAUGUGUGCGGCCCAUGCACCUCAACCCUCCAGCAGCGGCCCAGUCCUCACAGAUGUGGUAGCCCACUGCAAAGGACACAAUCGACUCCAUCAAUAGAGUUAACCUAGAUAAAAAAAUAUGUUGUAUGACAUAAACUGGACACUGAAAGAACUUGUUAAUAAAAAGUAGUUAUUUCUUUCCAUACCUCUUUUGUUAAUACAUGUGAUGCAUUACACCCACACGCUGGUGCACGGCAGCAGCGUUUGGCUCAAAUGAACAGUUACAAAGGGUUUAGCAAUAAAAUCAAAACAUUUAUAACACUGAGAUGAAACUGACUAAACACCACAAAAUGAUACAUGAUAAUAUAUGAAACUGCAUUUGUAUCUGCCCGACUGCAGCAUCAAAACAGGCAUCAGUGUACUGUUAUGUAAUUUGUCCUACUGUUCACUUUAAAGAGCCCCUAUUAUGUUUUUUUGGAUUCCCCAUCUUUUAGUGUGUUGUAUAGUUUUAUAUGUAUGUAAUAGCUGUAUGUAA